CAAUUAGAUCUUCAUCGUUCUAGCUUUAUGGUUUCUUCCGUUUUAGUUUUUAGGUAUAAGAUCCGUAUUGGGGAAGAUCUUCGUGUUGGGUUUUGUGGUGCGACUCAGAUCAUCUUCCUUGUGAAAUCCGGGUUCUUUUCUCCUAAUUAUUUUGUCCGUUAGCUGAAAGGGAAGGUUUUUUUUUUCGUUAUAGAUUUGUUUCUAUACUUAACUGUCGGUGAUGGUUUUAUGUUUCUUGCACAUCCGUUCCAAUUCUGGGGAGAAGAGCGACGGUUUCAUAGCCGUUCGGAGUUAUAUUAUGCUUUUGGAUUGUGCUUUUAUUGAGGAUUGGUUUCGAGAUUCUUGAAUAUUUGAAAGGAUGUGGUCUUCUUUGCGUUAGGUUUUUUGUUGCAUCGCCGAUCAUCUUUGCUGUAAAAUCCAGGCUUUUUCUUCUGAUUGCGUUGUCCUUUGGCUGAAAGGGAAGAAUUUUCUUUCCCAUUAAAGGUUUGGAUUUUCCUUCAAUACUUAUCGUUUGUCUAUGGUAUCGGUAAUAUUUUUUGCUUCUUGCUUAUCCGUCCUAAUGCUAUGGAGAAGAGCGACGGUUUCAUAGUCGUUCUGUUGGGUUGUGUUUUUUAUUGACGAUUGGUUUCGAAAUUCUUGAAUUCUUGAAAGGAUAUGAGCUUCUUCGUGUUAGGUUUUUUGAUGCAUCGCUGAUCAUCUACGCUGCGAAAUCUGGGUUUUCUCUUCUAAUUGCGUUGGCCGUUGGCUGAAAGGGAAGAAUUUUCUUUACCGUUAAAGAUUCGGAUUUUCCUUCAACACUUACCACUGUUGAUGGUUUUCUUAUGAUAUCGUUUAUCGAUGGAGAAAAUUGAUUUCAGAUGGUAACGAUAAAGGUCUCUGUGUUUCUUGUUUUCCUUCAAUAGUUACCGUGGGUGAUGGUUUUCUUAUCAUAUCGUUUGUAGAUGAAGAAAAGUGAUUUCAGAAGGUAUCGGUAAUUCUUUUUUGCUUCUUGCUUAUCCGUCCUAAUGCUAUGGAGAAAGCGACGGUUUCAUAGUUGUUCGGAUUUAUAUUAUGCUGUUGGGUUGCCGUCUUUUGAUGGAUCGUUUCAGAAUAGGAUGCGAUCUUCUUCGUGUUAGUAUUUUCUUGAUGCAUCGUCCAUCAUCUUCUUUGCCAAAUCUGGAUUUGUCUCCAAAUUACGUUGUCCGUUGGUUGAAAUGGAAUUUUCUUUUUCAUUAAGGCGCAGGUUGGAUUCAAAGUUGAUCUCAACAACUCACGUCAUCUAAUUUAAUCGUUACAAUUUUUCAAAGUUUUACACUAUAUAAUAAAUAAUUUAUUUUUUUCAAAUUUCAUACCAAUAAUAAUAUUAAAAAUUAAUAUUGUAACAAUAUUUUAUUUAACUUUAAUUUAAAUUUUAUAUCAACUCACUGACCAAAUCUAAACUAAAGAUUGAAAUUUUCUUUCAAUACUUAUCGUCGUUGGUGAUGGUUUUCUAAUGAUAUUGUUGUCGAUGAAGAAAAAUCGAUUCCUGAUGGUAACGGUUAAGUUUUUCCCUUUUUGUUUUUUGCAGUUAUGCUUCUUGCAUUUCCGGCUUGAUGCUUUGGAGAAAGACUGACAGAUUCAUAUAAUACUUUUGGUUUUGAAAUUCUUGUAUUUUUUAUUGGAUGUGGUUUCUUAUUCUUACAAGUGUUAAUUUCAGCAAUGCGAAUAUUUAGCUCGUGGAUGAUGCAGAAGAAAGGAAAUCCAAUACGAAUAUUCUUACAAGUGCCAAUCCCGUAAUUUUUCCUCGGCUUUAAACAAUAUGAUGAUAUUUACCUCAUUGAUUUAUCUUUCAUGACUCCGGCAUUUGGCGCAAGUUUUAUUUCCCCCCAUUUUCAAGACACUCGGAAGUCUUUCUGCAUGUUUCGAUAAUUUUUCUUGUUCAUUUUAUGGCAUUGGAUUUGCAUUUUCUUCUCUUAGGCCUCUGAUUUUAAGAGGAAUAUAUAUUUAUAACUUAUUGCAUGAUUUGCUGACGGCUUUGGUCAUUUUUGUUUGUAACAUAAUAUCCUUUUUGGAUGGUAAUUUGUCAGAGUUUGUGAUAUGGUUAUGGCUGCUGGGGGCAAAUCGUCUUAUGGCAUUGAAAAACAGGUUUUUGGUUUAUUCAUCGUUGAUUGAGACUUGAGUUAGGCUUUCAAAGGUUUGUGUCUGCAAAUUACAACCGAUAUUUGCUUACUUCAUUCUUGGUUAGGUUAUUCUUCUUACGUGUCCAACCAAGUUUGGAACUGGUCCAAAGCUUCCACAAUUCUCGAUGCAUUUCAGCACCAAGUAACCUAUGCUUCAAUUCUUGUGAAUAUCGCUUGUGGUUUUCUAAUAUGGAAUUCUCGAUCGAGUGCAUGAAAUAGGUCCACAAGACUGUUGAAUUCAUCAUGGUUUUUCUUGUGAUUUGAGCAACAGAGCCCUAUUCUUAUGUUUAUUUUUUCCUUCAAAAUCCACUGCGUAGGAGCUGCAGAAGCAAGGGAACUCUAGUUUUUCUUAUCAUCAUGUCAUAUUUGCUUGGGUUUUUUAACGUUUAAGAGCGGUUGCUUUAUCACCUGGAUUGCACAAUCGCAGAAAAGAAAGGCGACGGUUAUUUAGUAUACGAUCUAUUUCACAUUUCAGUCAAUUCAUAUUCACACUUCAACAGUAAAUCUGUUUAGUAUACGAUCAAUAUGGUGCCCCUUCUACAGGAUUAAAACCACUAUGGUUGGCUGGCUUGCAAAUCUGCAACACUGAAUUUUGCUUUUAUGGUUUACUGCCUUGGAAACCACAGGAUUAAAACUAUGAUUCAAACUACGGCUGGCUGGCUGGCCUGCAAUUUGUAACUGACUUUUGCUUUAUGGUUGACUGGCUUGGAAACCAUGAGGCCAAAUAAAUUCCUCCCAGUGCCUGCAGAAACAAGAAAACUGUUAUUUUCCCUUCUCUUUAUUCCACUUUUGCCGAGAAGUCUGUUCAUAUAUAGUUUUCUUUAACCAGAUCCCGUGUUGGGUUUGAGCAAAGCUUGUUUGUCUAGAUGAUCUUUACUUUCUCCGCUGCGGGUUUCGGGUUUCUUCUACUCUACUGGAGUAUAAAUAAAUCUAUCUCCGUGGCUGCAUGAUAAUCCUUGAAUUAAUUUGAAGUCUCUUGGUGUUUAAAAAAAGUGGCGUUUCUGUUGUGAAUUACUAAUCCAUUUCAGAAGCAGUUAAAGUCGGAUGCUUUAACAUGUUUUCUGUCUAAAUUCCAUUUAAGUGUAGGUUUGGAUUUCCUUUCGAAGUUGCAUCUUUCAUUGAGUCCCCCAUUCUUGAUCUUGGGUGAUAAUGCUUAACUGAGUUUGUGACUUGGUUAUAGCUGCAGAGGGAAUAUCGUCUUAUGGCAUUCAUCCUUGGUUUAUAUAGAGGGAAAACCAGAAACCAGGUUUUUGGUUUAUUCAUCUUUAUCUUGGUUAGGGAAGUCAAUGAGUUCUGAUUUCUUAUGUGUCCAAUCAAGUUUGGUACUGGUCCAAAGCUUUCACAGUUCUGGACACAUUUCAGCCCCAAGUAACCUAUGGGUAUAUAUAUAUAUAUCCUUCUGACUAUCGCUUGUGUUUUUCUGAUACGGAAGUCUCGAUCAAGUGCACUCGAAAUACUAAGGAAUCUGAUGAGGAAGGUGUUUGAAACUAUGUUUCCUGAUAGGUCCAUGAGACGUUGAAUUCGUCAUGGUUAUUCUUGUGAUUUGAGCAACAGAGUUUAUUCUUAUGUUUCUUUUUCCUUUAAAAUGCGUAGGAGCUGCAGAAGCAAGGGGAACUCUUAUUUGUUCCUAUCUUCAUAUCACACAUCUGCUUGGGCAUUUUAACGUUUGAGAUCAGAGGGCCUUGUUUAUGGUCUGGAUUUCACGAUCCCAUAGAAGCAAGGCACCGGUUAUUGUUUCUGCUCUUUCACUUUUCGCCUAUUAAGUGUAGUCAUAUUUUCCCCCUCGACCGCAAACCUGUUUAGUAUAUGAUGUAUCUCAUGGAAUUUGGAGUUGUGCGACAACUUCUACUGCAGUUGGUUCCAGCUAUGAUUUCUUGUCCUGAUCAAUAUGGUGCCUUCUACAGGAUUAAAACUACACUAUGGUUUGACUCGCUUGGAAACCAAAAGCGCAAAUAAGUUCCUAUUAAGUGCCUGUGGAAACAAGAAAACUGUUAUUUUUCCUUCUCUUUAUUCCACUUUUGCUGAGAUGUCACAAUGAUGUUUUUGCGGAGAUGUCACAAUGAUGUUCCUUAUUUGAUUUAUUUACGGUUGGUGCUUCACAACUGUUUCCCUUCGAGCAAUGUUUGUUCGGCUAGAUCAAUUUGGUUUUCUUUGUACAGGAAUACAAAUAUAUAUCUGUCCUUUACUUUCUCUGCUGCUGGUUUCUUCUACAGGGUUAUUAAGAUAUCAUCUGUCCAUUACUUUCUUCACGGCUGGCAUGUUAAAGGAGUUUAAUUAUAAGUCAUGGUGUAUUUGAAAAAGUGGCAUUUGUAUUAUGCAUUUUUAAUCAAUUCCCGAACUAGUUAAGAGUUGGAUGUGUUAACGGGUUCUCUCUAAAUGCAGUGAAAGUGUAUGUUUGGAUUUCUUCACUGCAUGUUUGGACUUCCUCUUCCGCAUUUUCCAGUAAGAGUUAAGUUUUCAAAGUUAGAUCUUUCAUGGAAGCCCCGCAUUCUUGAUCUUUGGUAAUAAUGUUUUGACUGGUACGUGUGAUUAUAAAGAGAUCCUAAUUAAAUAAAGGAGAAACUUUGUGCCUGUAUAUUUGCCGGUCUUGAUGGUUUGACUCGUAAUUUGAUGCCGUCGGUUUUAAGAGGUUUAUAUGUUAAGGGCAAGGGGUCAUGCAAUUCCAUGAAAUGGGUUUGAACUAAGGCUUUGUGAUUUAUCUAUUUUGUUCUCAUCUGCUACUUAAUUUCCUACAGUCUAUCGCUUUUCAUGUGUCUAUCUACAGUGUGUAUUGUCAGGUUGCAUUUGCGUGGUUUAAAUAAAUAAUUCCAAGGGGUCAUGCAAUGCCAUGAAAUGGGUUUGAGCUAAGCCUACGUGAUUUUGUUCAUUAUGUUCUCUUCUGCUUCCCAAUUUCCAACAUGCUUUUCAUUCACUUAUCUACAUUGUGUCUAUUGUCAGGCUGCAUUUGGGUGGUUUAAAUAAAUAAUUCCAAGGGGCCAGGCAAUGCAAUGAAAUGGGUUUGAGCUAAGGCUACGUAAUUUUGUUCUUUAUGUUCUCUUUUGCUUCUCAAUUUUCCACAUGCUUUUCAUUAGUUCAUCUACACUGUAUAUUGUUAAGGGCAAGGGGUCAUGCAAUUCCAUGAAAUGGGUUUGAACUAAGGCUUUGUGAUUUAUCUAUUUUGUUCUCUACUGCUACUUAAUUUCCUACAGUCUAUCGCUUUUCAUGUGUCUAUCUACAGUGUGUAUUGUCAGGUUGCAUUUGCGUGGUUUAAAUAAAUAAUUCCAAGGGGUCAUGCAAUGCCAUGAAAUGGGUUUGAGCUAAGCCUACGUGAUUUUGUUAUUAUGUUCUCUUCUGCUUCCCAAUUUCCAACAUGCUUUUCAUUCACUUAUCUACGUUGUGUCUAUUGUCAGGCUGCAUUUGGGUGGUUUAAAUAAAUAAUUCCAAGGGGUCAGGCAAUGCCAUGAAAUGGGUUUGAGCUAAGGCUACGUAAUUUUGUUCUUUAUGUUCUCUUUUGCUUCUCAAUUUUCCACAUGCUUUUCAUUAGUUCAUCUACACUCUAUAUUGUCAGGUUGCAUCUGCAUAGCCUAAAUAAAUAAUUUCGAGGGGUCAUGCAAUGCCAUGAAACGGGUUUUAGCUAAGAAUGCGAUUUUGUUGUUUAUGUUCUCUUCUGCUUCUCAAUUUCCCACGUGCUUUUUGUUUGUUUAUAUACUUCUUGUGUAUUGACAGGCUGCAUCUGCGUGGCUACGUGAGUUUGUUCCUUGUGUUCUCUUCUGCUUCUCAAUUUCCCACAUGCUUUUCAUUUGUUUAUCUACAUUGUAUAUUGUCAGGCUGCAUCUGCAUGGCCUAAAUAAAUAAUUCCAGGGGGUCAGGAAAUGCCAGGAAAUGGGUUUUAGCUAAGGUGUUCUUUAUGUUCUCUUCGAGCUUCUCAAUUUCCCACAUGCUUUUCAUUUGUUUAUCUACAUUGUAUAUUGUCAGGCUGCAUCUGUGUGGCCUAAAUAAAUAAUUCCAGGGGGUCAGGAAAUGCCAGGAAAUGGGUUUUAGCUAAGGUGUUCUUUAUGUUCUCUUCGAGCUUCUCAAUUUCCCACAAGCUUUUCAUUUGUUUAUCCACAUUGUGUGUAUUGUCAGGUUGCAUCUGUGUGGCCUAAAUAAAUAAUUUCAAGGGGUCAUGCAAUGCCAUGAAAUGGGUUUGCUAAGGCGUUCUUUAUGUUCUCUUCUGCCUUCUCAAUUUCCCACAUGCUUUUCAUUUGCUUAUCUACAUUGUGUCUAUUGUCAGGCUGCAUUUUCGUGGUUUAAAGAAAUAAUUCCAAGGGGUCAUGCAAUGCAAUGAAAUGGGUUUGAGCUAAGGCUACAUGAUUUUGUUCUUUAUGUUCUCUUCUGCUUCUCAAUUUCCCACAUGCUUUUCAUUUGCUUAUCUACAUUGUGUGUAUUGUCAGGCUGCAUCUGCGUGGCCUAAAUAAAAAUUUGAAGGGGUCAUCCAAUGCAAUGAAAUGGGUUUGAGCUGUUUGAGCUAAGCUACAUAAUUUUGUUCUUUACGUUUGCUUCUGCUUCUCAAUUUCCCACAUUACACGUUACAAUUUUUCACAUGCUGUUCAUUUGCUUAUCUACUUUAUGUGUACUGUCAGGCAUGGUUUAAAUAAAUAAUUCCAAGGGGUCAGGCAAUGAAAUGGGGUUUGAGCUAAGGCCGUGUGAUUUUUUUUAUGGUCUCUUCUGCUUGUCAAUUUCCCACACGCUUUUCAUUGGUUUAUAUACAUUUAUUGUCAGGUUACAUCUGCGUGGCCUAAUAAAUAAUUUCAAGGGGUCAUUCAAUGCCAUGAAAUGGGUUUGAGCUAGGGCUACACUAUUUGUUUUUUAUGUUCUCUUAUUAUUCUCAAAUUUCCCACAUGCUUUUCAUUUGCUUAUAUAUUUUGUGUGUAGUGUCAGGCUGCAUCUGCAUGGCCUAGAUAAAUAAUUCCAAGGGGUGAGGCAAUUCCAUGAAAUGGGUUUUGAGCUAAGGCUACGUGAUUUUGUUCUUUAUUUUCUCUUAUGCUUCUCAAUUUCCCACAUGCUUUUCAUUUGUUUCUCUACAUUGGGUGUAUUGUCAGGAUGCAUCUGCGUGGCCUCAAUAAAUAAUUCCAAGGGGUCAGGCAAUGCCAUGAAAUGGGUUUGAGCUAAGGCUACGUGAUUUUGUUAUUUUUGUUCUCUUAUGCUUCUUUAAUUUCCCACAAGCUUUUCAUUUGUUUAUCUACAUCGUGUGUAUUGUCAGGCUGCAUCAUGUUGGCCUAAAUAAAUAAUUCCAAGGGUUCAGGCAAAGCACAAAAUGGGUUUUUGAGCUAAGGCUACGUGAUUUUGUUCUUUAUAUUCUCUUAUGCUUCUCAAUUUCAGUCUUUUCAUUUCUUUCUGUAUUGUCAGGCUGCAUCUGCGUGGCCUAAAUAAAUAAUUCCAAGGGGUCAGGAAAUGACUUGGAAUGGUUUGAGCUGAAGCGUUCUUUUUGUUCCCUUUUGCUACUCAAUUCCCCACAUACUUUUCAUUUGCUUAUCUAUGUUGUGUGUACUGUGUAUUGCCAGGCUGCUUUUGCGUAGGUUAAAUAAACACUUCCGAGGGAUCAGGCAAUCCCAUGAAAUGGGUUUGAGCUAAGAGUACUUGAUUUUGUUUUGUUCUCUUCUGCUUCUCAAUUUUCCACACGCUUUCCAUGUGUUUAUCUACAUUGUGUGUAUUGUCAGGCUGCAUGUGGGUGGCCUAAAUGAAUAAUUUCAAGGGAUCAUGCAAUGCCAUGAAAUGGGUUUGAGCUAAGGCGUGCCUUAUGUUCUCUUCUGCUCCUCAAUUUCCCACACGGUUUUCAUUUCCCUAUCUACUUUGUGUGUAUUGCCAGGCUGCAUUUUGCGUGGUUUGAAU